rnacentral:rRNA from 1 species
UACGUAGGGGGCUAGCGUUGCUCGGAAUCACUGGGCGUAAAGGGCGCGUAGGCGGCGCGGUAAGCGUGCGGUGAAAGCCCGGGGCUCAACCCCGGGUCGGCCGUGCGGACUGCCGGGCUGGAGCGCUGUAGAGGCAGGUGGAAUUCCGGGUGUAGCGGUGGAAUGCGUAGAGAUCCGGAAGAACACCGGUGGCGAAGGCGGCCUGCUGGGCAGUAGCUGACGCUGAAGCGCGACAGCGUGGGGAGCAAACAGG